rnacentral:lncRNA from 1 species
AACUAGAGCUUUCUUAUUAUUUAUUUCUCUUUUAUUUUAUUAUUCACUUAUUUUAAUUGCUUUUAGUAGUUUAUUAAUCAAAUCAAUCUCAAACCCCCCAUUUUACUUUUACUACAAUUUAUUUUUAUUCCGCUUUCAGUUUAUCUCAUUUUUUGUUUAUCUCAUUGUUUCAGUUUAUUUUAUUGGUCUUGUUGAGAAAAAUAAAUAAGUAAUCAAUUCUCUGUGGAUUCGAUCCUUCACCACUAUCUGCAGUUGUAAAUUGUUGAUAACCAAGAAGGUUAUUUUUUACCGGCUUCGACAACCGCGAGUCA